rnacentral:rRNA from 1 species
UACGUAGGAGGCGAGCGUUGUCCGGAGUUACUGGGCGUAAAGGGUGCGUAGGCGGCCGCGCGCGUGGCGGGUGAAAUCUCCCGGCUUACCCGGGAGGGGGCUUGCCAGACGGCGCGGCUUGAGGGACGGAGAGGGGCGUGGAAUUCCGGGUGGAGCGGUGAAAUGCGUAGAGAUCCGGAGGAACACCGACGGCGUAGGCAGCGCCCUGGCCGUGCGAUAACCCUGACGCUGAAGCACGAAAGCUGGGGGAGCGAACAGG